AAACUGACGCCAUUGACUGCCUCAGUAGCUUAGCUGCCUAACUUCUAUUCCAACGUCUUUUAUCUUCUAUAAUAGUUGCCGUCUUAAUCAUCGAGACAAUUCAUAAUUAAGCGUAGUAGUUGAUAAAUUGCAAAUAUAACUGAUAAAUAAUGUAAUAGUGUGGGUCUAAAAGGACCGUGAGAGUCAGGAAUGAAGUGUGCAAGUGGUGUCUUGGGCGUAGAACUAGAGUGUCAAUCAAUCAAUCAAUCAUAAGUAAAUAAUUUGUGAAGCACCAAAUGCAGACUUGGUGAGAGGUCCUUGGAAAUUAAAGUUACAGUCCAUAAUUGUCGAAAAGGAACUAUUUUUUGGUCUUGUUGGAAACUUGUUAAGACUUGUACAUUUUAUUUUUCUGUGUCAAAAUGCACAAGCAAAGUCACUCAUCAGAGAGGAUGUUCAGUUGCCCUGACAGGUUUGUUAAUGUUUUGCACCCCAAAGUAAGUUGCACUUGAUGUUGAGAUAAUUAUUGUUAACUUGUCUGCAAAAUCUAUAGGAAAAAAGGCAACAGCAACCUAAGGGACGAUAAAAAGAAAAACCAUAUUUAUAUUUUUAUGAUCCAAUUCAUGACCAUCAUCAUUGCUGUUAUUCAAAGAAGAGAAGGAGAAUCUGGAGGAGGGUCUCACUGAAAAUGCAGAUGAAGGCUCUUCAUUUGUAGUCUUUAUUAGAAGUCAAGGCAGAGCCAAAGUAUUGUGGCCAGAAUGAAUUUGAUGCAAAAUGGAUGUGUAACCUUUAUGCAAAGGUAAAAUAUAUUACUUUUAGGUUUUUCUUACAAUUGUUCUCAAUGAACACUGUACAGCGCUAGGUUAAGAAAUUUUCCUUUGCCUUCUCCACUUUUCUUGUUCCUGUGUAUUUUUUAUAUGAUUUCCAAAUAAAGAAUUAGUAUUGUUUUUGGCUGACAUGAAGUUUUCUUCCUUUUGUUAUUCAGCAUUGUGCUAUAUAUAUGCACUUGUAUAUGUAGUUGUAAGCUUGAAUAUUUCCAUGAAAUGUUAUUCUCAGUGGAACUAGAAAAGAUUGAUAUCUUCAUUAAACUUCAAUGAAAUUUUGGUGCAUUUUAUAUGAUUAUUUUUUUAAUAUGUUCUUGGUUUUAAUCUUCUACAAAGAUUGUGCUACAGCGUUUGUAAGUAAAUCAUAAUUCCUUGUAUAAGCUCACUAAAUACUACAGUGGACUGUGUAGUAUUUUGUUUUAGGUUAACCAGUCUGAAGUGUUUAGACUAGACUAGUUAUGUAAAUGACUAAAGUGAUGUGUUAUUCUGAUUAGAUUAAACCUCUUUUUUUUUUUAUUUCAU